rnacentral:lncRNA from 1 species
UCUGGACUCUCAGUCUUUUUCUUCUGGUUUCUUCGAUCUUUGAUCUCUUAUGAGUUGUCUGGCCAAAAUAUUGGUUGAAUCUAUGUGAUUCAUGUUGCUACAGUAAUCAAGCCUGAAAUAGUGGCUGAUUGGGUGUCUGUAGUGUUUGCCUGAAAGUUUUAUUCGUGUUUUUUGGUUAGGUCUUGAGAUUUAAGAGAUCCAUGUGUGGAUCAAUGACUAUUUCUUGGUCUGAUUGAGUUUUUCAGAUCUGUACUCCCUUUUUGGACAGUUUUUGUGUGCUUAGUAAUCUGGCUAAUCUCUGAGCCUCCCCAAAUUAGGCGAUUGCCGAACUGGGGGAACAAUUUAUUGUGUUCAUUUACGUUUCUUGCACCGUGAUUGAUGCUUUAUUUACUGCUUUCUUUAACUAUAAGAGGGAUGAAAACCUUACACUUUUGGAAUUAAAUUCUACAAGAUUCACCAACACUUGUAGGUAUGAAUAUGUGUUUAUAUUUAUAUGGUUUACAUGUCUCUAUAUACUUUACUGCUAUUUACGAAUUUAGCCUCUGAAAUGGAUUAAUCUAUAAUAUUUACUCAUUUGACGGUAUCAUUACGUUAUAUAUCAUUUAAAUUGGUGCUCUUUUCAUUUGCUCAGACCUUAUAUUAAAAUUUUAAUAACCUUAUUUAACAAUUUUGUAAUUUAGUAAAAGCGCAGUGGAAUUCUGAUGGCAAUCCAAUUUCCUCAUUUUUCACAAUAUUUAUGUAUCAAAGAUGCACGCUUUCAGUUGCUGAAAACUCUAUCUUACUUAAUAUAACAUUCCACCGAUCUUUUGCUCUUGCUUUCUGAUAUUUUUAUUUAAGAAACUAACUUAUUCUUAUGGAGUUUGGUUCUUUUUGACCAACUAUAUUGCUAACUAUCAAAUUAAGUGGUGUCAUUAAUUUAAGAGAAAAUGCAGUAGAUGCUAUGUUUUGAUACGCUGUUUAUGUAAACAUGAAUGAGUAGAAAUGCAAAGGGUUUAAAAAGUUGCACUAUGUUAAUUUUAUGCCGAUGCGCAUUACUUAAUUGAGGCACUGUUCACCGUGUUAGAGAAUUGAGGUAUUUAGUACUAAUACUUGGAGCACAAUUAAAUGGUACAAUUAUAAUUUUUUUUUAGUAAUGUCGACUAUGAAGGCGAAUAAAUAAAUAAAUUAAUGGUAAUCAACUAGGAUCCAUGGCACAUUGACUUCGUGGGAGGCUAAUGAAAUGUCCAUUUGCCAUUGUAAAAGUAAAUUGUUAGGAAUCAAGGUAAGUAAAAUAUGUUACCUAAAUUUGUUAUUAUGUGAUUUUGAUAUUGAAUUAUUACGUUUUAUAUUAUUAAUGCUACUCAUGACAUUUUCAUGCAUGUUAAUGCAUCCAUAAGCAUACAUGAAGUUUCAAGGAAUAAAAAGCUUUCAAAUGUCACGAGUCAAUGAAUGUUUUAAAAAUAUAUGUAUUUCGAAUAUUUUUAUUACGAGGUGUAUGUCUAUAUCAUGAAUGGUAUAAAUUAGAAAUGGGGCGUGAGAGAUCGGCGCACCCGACCAAUGUUCAAUGAUAAUGUUAAUGUUAACCACUUUGCGGUACUACUGUUGGACUCGUCUGGGUUCCAAAUAAUAAUUGCCCACUGCAUUUUGAUUGAUUAGACGAUACACCAAGUGAGCUCACAAUGUCAGUGUUAAGUUUUUAAACAAAUGAAAGAAAUAAGAUACAUAUUGAAAAAUGUUUUUAUUUUAAAGUUAUUCAUACACAUAUCUUAAACAUACAUCACUAGCAUGAGGUUUGCUUAAUCAGAGUUAGCUCAUUCCACGUUAUCCCUCAUCAUUUCAGAAUGAUGAAAGCAAGAGAUUCAAGACGACAACUUGCGGUGCGACAAACUCAGUACUGCAACACUUAAAUAUUGACUUCCUUUUGGAAAAAAGUUAAGUUUUAAAUUUUAUUGUCUUAUAUUUUAUCAAGUACAAUUUUUUAUUAAAUGAAGUUGUUAAUUUUUAUCAUGUUUAAGAAAAUAAGAAAUCACUUUACCACAUUUAUGAUUUUAAGGGGACAUUAGAUGAUAAUACUUUUAGAUUUUGGUAUUUAGAUUUGGGAGUGUUACAUCUACAAUAUAGGACUAUGUUAUUUGAUAGAUUUGAUCAACACACUUGGGCUAAAAUUUAAUUUAAUACAUUAUUUUCAAGAUUGUGCUAUUAAUUCAUGCUAGAUCUUCUCAUCCUGUUGGACUAUCCUUUGGUUUGAAUUUAUUGAUCUCAAGUCUUCUUGAUUACUUAAAUUGUCUCAAUUGAUUUCGAAUUUACGUGUGGAUUCACAACCUUAUUAUACCAAUAUUUUAUGAUCUCCUUAUCAUUCCUUUGAUGCUCAUCAUUUCUGCUGCCAAAUCAAGUGACGUUGCUAACAAAAGGACAUUUCACGUGAGAGUAUCCACUAGUAUUGGUAGUAUAGAAGCUGAGGUGUGAGGUUGUUUGAGUAGUAUUCAGAAAAUAUUUGCUUCUAUGUUUAUUUAUUUAUAUUUUUUUAAUAUGUGAUGGCUUCCAAUUGGUGUAGAUUGUCUGGGAGAAACAACUGAAAGAGGCUGCUUCUCUCAAUCGCUCUUGAUUCUAAACAAGGUACUUUCUCAAUGUUGUAUGUUCAAAUUAUUAAAGACUUCUCGGGAUAUUUAAAGGUCAAUCUUGUUUACAAG